ACGAACGCUGGCGGCUGCUUAACACAUGCAAGUCGAGCGGAGUGGCGAACGGGUGAGUAACGCGUGAGCAACCUGCCUAUGACAGUGGGAUAGCCUCGGGAAACCGGGAUUAAUACCGCAUAGUCAUAGAUGGGCUCGCGUCUGAUUAGCUAGUUGGUGAGAUAACAGCCCACCAAGGCGACGAUCAGUAGCCGGUCUGAGAGGAUGAACGGCCACAUGGGAACUGAGACACGGUCCAAACUCCUACGGGAGGCAGCAGGGGGGAAUAUUGCACAAUGGGGGAAACCGUGAGGCAGGGAAGCCGCGUGAACGAAGAAGGUAUUAGUAUCGUAAAGUUAUGACCUAUGGGGAGAAGUACCAUAGAAGAAAGCGCCGGCUAAAUACGUGCCAGCAGCCGCGGUAAUUC
rnacentral:rRNA from 1 species